rnacentral:lncRNA from 1 species
GGAGUGGUGUUUUUUUCUGGAAGAUCUCUUUUAAGCAGGUGGGGGAUUAUGCUAGGAGUGGUUUCUUGUUGCUGCUGUUUAUUGUAUAAUGUAGUAUUGGGCAAGCGUAGCAGGGUUGUUUCCUGUUGCAGGAGAACGAUGGCGGAGUGCUCAAAGAGCAUCCAACAAGAAGCAGUCACUGUAGCCCUGAUGAAGCUAAGUUUCCAUCAAGCAUCUGCUUGUGAUAUACUCUACCAACAAAGUACUCUUCAUUUGCAGAGUGCAUUGAAUGAAAUGGAUUAAAUAAUGGCAAAAGGAACCAAAGAGAAAAAUUUCUGGUAUGUCAUGCCAGUGGUCCCACUUGGAUCAGCUCUUAAUUAUGCAAACAAAAUUUCAACUCU